rnacentral:ncRNA from 1 species
UGUCUCCUCCAUCCGCCUCCUGGAUUGGACUUUGCCCGCGAGCCCUCCGGUUCGCGGGCAUUUUUUU